GCGCACGGAAUAAAUCCGAGUUGGUUUACGCCACGGAACGUGCACCAGUGAUAAUAGCACGACUGUAUGACAGGGACGCUGCGAGCGAAAGCGAGAGUGAGGAAUCUGGUGACAGUCCUAGUGCUAGCGCCUGUGAGAGCCAAGAGGGUAUCGCUAGUACCACUACCAGUAGGUCUACCAACUAUGGAACAAGAGCACCCAGACGCCCCGCUGAAGUGGAUGUGCACCAGACUGUUAUUAUGCAGGACAGCAUACGUCUGGUAUACCAUUCGGCUAGGCUCCUGCGGAAUGCCUGUCAGCAACAGGCAGAGAGUUUCGACACUACAAGCACAAGUCCUGGCAGCAGCACUGGUAUGAUUUCAGUGAAGCAAGCUGAGCAGUGCAUUCCUGCCCUGCUCCACAAUUUCCUUGUGUGGUUUUUGAGCUCAGGCCAGCAUGACAAUAUACCAGCAGCAUCCAGCAAGCUUGAAGUUGAUUCCACGCUCAACCGCUGUGUGAUGUCCUUUGCACAGGACCUAGUGUUCCAGUGCACAACUAUCGUGCCACCAAAGCAUGUUGCUCUUGGUUUGGCUGUACACCAUCUGUACAGAAGUGAACGACUUGUGACCAUACUGAACAGAUUUGGCCACAGCAUUGCGUACGCCCAGGUGCUGGAGAGAGAGACACGGAUGGCCGAAAGUAAACUCCACAGCAGGGAGGCUACUGACGGCCUUCCGGAUAUUGUCGAUAUUAUCUUUGUAUGUAAUGGAGUUUGAACAUUUUUUUCUGUCGCUGUGAUUCUUCUCUUCAUAUUACAGGCUGGCACCUAGAAAGCAAUGGGACAUUGGCAGUUGACUGGUUAAGCCUGCCACCUGCUCCAAAGUCAAUCCUAGAGUUCCUCUAGAGUUCCUCUAGAGUUCCUCCGGUGUUCCUCCGGUGCGGGUGCAAAACUGGUUGCAGCAGUGGCAACUGUUCGUGCCGCCGGCAUAUGCUGUUGUGUACAGAUGCUUGCACCUGUCGGCACCACUCUUCAGUAGUAUGCACAAACUACCCAGAGCAGCAUGCAGCAUUGCCUACGACCCAACACAUCUCACCUGAAACUGAUUUGGUCUGCAGUGACACAGCUCAUGACUGAUAGCAGCCAGCCAACCGUAAGGAUUCGGGACUGACAAACUUGUUGAGCAAUCAUGUGCAUGAUGGAUAGCAGCCAGCUCUAGAGUGUCCCACCACCUCUGGGAUAUCUUGCAACAAAUCUUAUGACAGAUCUGUGUCAGCAUCAGUGGAUGCCGGAACUGUCUUUCUUUGGCCGACAACCGCAUCCCGCAGCACGGGUGAUAGCACAUCUUCUUCUUAUCAUAUUAUCUACAUGACUGUAAUAUUGUCAUUAUAAUUUAACCUGUACCUUCAUUUUAAAUUGUUUCCAGAGGACCUAUGAUCUUCUUACUGGAGCUCCUAUACCAGAAAAGUUAGGCAUGAAAUAUGAUCGGAAUGUCCGGAGACCCAUGAAAGCGUGACAGUAAUAGUAACUUUACAGAUUAUGCCAGUACUAAGACUUUAUUAUUAUAAUCAGAGACUUCAUGCUAGGAAAUAAUAAAUUAUCCUUCUAGUGUACUUGUCCUAUUUCCUAUUUUGUGCAGGCUCCUUGUUGUAUAAUAUGUUCUCAAAUGUGACAUACAUUAUUACAAUGUAUUACUAUUGUGAAAUGACCCAAAGGCAGUAUGCCUAUCGAGGGGUUCAUUUGAUUGAAAGAACAGUACUACUACUAG